CCCGGUGACGUAUACAUCUGGAGGACAAGCAAACGCGACAUGUAAAUAACAAAGCAAUAUUAUUGUUAAGGAUGCAUAUCUCAAAAUAUUUUUUAUAGCACU